CGAAUCGACAUACAUUGUUAAACCGUUGUCAAGUGAAGUUAUAUUAAAUAUAUUUAUAAUAAUUUAUCCUAUCGUCAUCAUGAGAAGUUUAAUAGUUGCCACGAUUGUACUUUUCGCCGUUUAUCAGGCAGUAGAUGGUCUCAUUGCCUGUCACGAAACCUUUUGCGACAAUCAAAAAUGUACAGAAAACCUCGUUUGCAAAGAUUCUGAAGUUCUGGUUCCCAAGGGAACCAUUUGCGGAUGUUGCGACGACUGCUACAGAAAACUAAAUGAAGGCGAUGCUUGCAGGUCACGUUUUAUUGGAGGAGGUCCAUUCAGAGGAAAAUGUGUAGAUGGAUUAGUAUGUAACGCUGAAGGAAAAUGCGCCAAAGCCUAAAUUAUAAACAAAAACUAUUAUGUAGAUAAAUAAAUGAUUUCAAUGAUAAAUUA